rnacentral:tRNA from 1 species
CAUUAUGAAGCUAGAAAGCGUUAACCUUUUAAGUUAAAGACUAGGAAUAAUAUUUCCUCAUAAUGA